rnacentral:lncRNA from 1 species
CCAUUUUCGAGCUAACUAAGCUAAUUAUGUCAUUUAGGUGGAAGCCAAGCUAAGUAUAGGUCAUUCUAGAGCUAACUUGGGUAAAAUAUGUCAUUUUGGAGACAACUAUGAUUAUUAAGGCAUUUUCGAGCUAAAUUGGGUAAUUAUGUCAUUUAGGAGGAGGAGGAGGAGGAGAAGGAGAAGGAGACCAUUAUGGAGCUAACUUGGUAUAAAUAUGUCAUUUUGGAGCUAAGUAUGCUUAAUAAACC